GGGAGGUAGUGACAAUAAAUAACAAUACAGGGUCCUUAUGGGUUUUGUAAUUGGAAUGAGUACAAUUUAAAUCUCUUAACGAGGAACAAUUGGAGGGCAAGUCUGGUGCCAGCAGCCGCGGUAAUUCCAGCUCCAAUAGCGUAUAUUAAAGUUGUUGCAGUUAAAAAGCUCGUAGUUGAAUUUCGGGGUUAGUAAGUUGGUCAUGCCUUCGGUAUGUACUGGCUUUACUGAUUCCUCCUUCUUGAAGAACUGUAAUGUCAUUAAUUUGGUGUUGCAGGGAAACAGGACUGUCACUUUGAAAAAUUAGAGUGUUUAAAGCAAGCUAACGCUUGAAUACAUUAGCAUGGAAUAAUGAAAUAGGACGUUUGAUUCUAUUUUGUUGGUUUCUAGGAUCGACGUAAUGAUUAAUAGGGAUAGUUGGG
rnacentral:rRNA from 1 species